rnacentral:rRNA from 1 species
GGAUUAGAUACCCUGGUAGUCCACGCCGUAAACGAUGAGUACUAGUUAUUAGAGGUAUUGACCCCUUUAGUGACGCAGCUAACGCAUUAAGUACUCCGCCUGGGAAGUACGGUCGCAAGACUAAAACUCAAAGGAAUUGACGGGGGCCCGCACAAGCGGUGGAUUAUGUGGUUUAAUUCGAAGCAACGCGCAGAACCUUACCUAGGCUUGAAAUCCUCAGAAUUCCGAGUAAUGUUGGAAGUGCCCGCAAGGGAAUUGAGUGACAGGUGCUGCAUGGCUGUCGUCAGCUCGUGCCG